CCUAAUCGAAAACUUAUUGUAUCUCUCAUACCACAUGUUAGUGCAAUUUACAUGAACCCUAAGAUCUUUAAGCAACAUGAUUAAUCACAUGAUAAAACUGUAAAGGAGGGUUAGCGGAGUACCUCCAUUCAUUGUAGCUGAGAUUCUUGAUGAACGGAUUCCUGAAGUCUUGAUCUCUUAGUUAGGUGAUUAGGUUUCUCUCCCCUUGCCUAUAAACUUACUUUAUGUGUUGUGUUUGUGAUUUCUUUUUGGGAUGCCUUUAUGAUGGACUAAAGGCAUAUAUUUAUA
rnacentral:lncRNA from 1 species